UACGGGGGGGGCAAGCGUUGUUCGGAAUUACUGGGCGUAAAGGGUUCGUAGGUGGCCUACUAAGUCAGACGUGAAAUCCCUCAGCUCAACUGGGGAACUGCGUCUGAGACUGGAAGGCUUGAGUGCAGGAGAGGAACGCGGAAUUCCAGGUGUAGCGGUGAAAUGCGUAGAUAUCGAGAGGAACACCUGCGGCGAAGGCGGGUAGCUGGGCCGACACUGACGCUGAUGCGCGAAAGCCAGGGGAGCGAACGGG
rnacentral:rRNA from 1 species